CCAAGCCACUCAUCAUCACUGUGGUUCCACUGGGUAUGAACAGCCUGGCAUCUGCUCUCCCAACUGAAAUGCCAGCCUCUGGAGCUGAGGCCCGGGUCUGACUGUGCCUAACACUGUCUCGAAUGCGGUGAGGUGGCUGCGCAGAGCUCAGGAGAGUGGACGCCUUGCGGGGAAGCUGCCAGCCUGGGUCCUGCCACUUGUUUGCCAGCUGCGUCACCACGGAUGACACUCUGAGCUGCAUUUGUGACACAGGAACCACCAUCCCUUCCCAUAAGGAUGAGCUUUAAACUCCGCCAAGCGCAAAAAAUGUCAACUACUCACGCUUGAUAAAGUCAUGUGAACGGGGCUGUGGGCAGACGCGUGUGGAGCCUGCCGUGGGGAACCUGCUCAGCACAGCUGUUCCUGAGCGCACGGCGGCUGCUCCCGCACUUCCACCGAGAAAAAGCUGAGGUCGGCGUAGCCGUGGAGAGGCCAAAAGCUGCUGUGAAGUACCACGAAUGACAGAAACUGGCUUAAGACAACAGAAAUGUAUCCUCCCCCAGUUCUGGAAGCCGGAAGUCUGAGACGAAGGUGUCAGCAGGGCUCUCAUCCAUUCGCCAUGCUGGGUCUGUCACGGCCUGAAUGCUUUCGUCCCCAACGUUCAUAGAAGAGGCCCCUGAGACUCCUUCACCCCUUCCGCCACGUGAGGGCACAGCGAGAAGGCGCCAUCUGUGAGCCAGGAGCUGUUCUCCCCAGACGUCUAACCUGCCUUCGCCUUGGCCUCCCAGCCUCCAGAACUGAAAUUUGGGCUCAUAGAGACCCUUUAGCCUGAUCUACACAGCAGCAGGACAAACAGCGACAGAUGUUUGCAGUUAGAGCUCUCCGGGAUCUGAAGCCUCCUACAAAUGAAGCUGGUGAUGAGAAGAGCCCAAUGCUGAGUCGUCUUUGUGGUUGCUGGAUUCGUCUAUGCUCGCAGGGCUGUGAAGGAACGCCUGAGACGGGUUGAACUCUCCUGGUGGCCAGCCCUGGUGUCUGAAGUUCAGAAUGUGGUGUCAUGCUCUUGCAUGUUGUGCUUAAAAAGGCUUUUGUUGGAAAAGCUUGUGUGAAGCCACUGGCACCUGUUAUGUGAGCACAUGUGACUCUACGCUGACCCGUUGCCAUUGGGCCCUGGGGAAUGACAGAGAGGAAAGAUAAAUUGGGAAGGAGAAAGCCAGGUGUGGAGUAAAAAGGUGUGAAGACAGCAGAGCUGGAUGAGGGGACAAGUGAGGAGGCUGGGCAUAAACUGUGAUCUGGAGAGACAAAGAGGAGGAGAUGCCUGUGUAUUUUGUGCAGUCGAACGACCCGGGUUCAAUUCCUACCUUCAUUCCACUCUGAGCCUCAGACGCCCAUUCACAGAAGGGGCCUGUGUCAUGCAGCUCAUGAGUCAGGAGAAUUAAUGGGACCGAGGGAGCCUGUUGACUGCUUGGCUCCAAUGACAAGCACACAGUAAGAAGCCAAUAAUAUGAAUGCUUUCUGCCUUUCACACCAUUUUCAUUUGUACGUCACUCUCUAGUAAGACUAGUAAAAACGUUCCUAUGUUGAAAAAAAA